UACGUAGGGUGCGAGCGUUAAUCGGAAUUACUGGGCGUAAAGCGUGCGCAGGCGGUUUUGUAAGCCAGAUGUGAAAUUCCCGGGCUUAACCUGGGAAUGGCAUUUGGGACUGCAAGGCUUGAGUGCGGCAGAGGAGACUGGAAUUCCUGGUGUAGCAGUGAAAUGCGUAGAUAUCAGGAGGAAUACCGAUGGCGAAGGCAGGUCUCUGGGCAGUAACUGACGCUGAGGAGCGAAAGCGUGGGGAGCGAACAGG
rnacentral:rRNA from 1 species